AUGAAGAGGGAGGGGUUCCAGCACGGCGCCGUCAGGGUCAACCGCAACAAGCUGCUGCGGGUCGCCGGCGGGACCGGCGGCGACGCGGCGGCCGCGGCGCUCGACCUCGCCGGCGUCGCCUACGCCCGGGCGCCGUCCAAGCCGACCAACGCGUCCAGGGACACGGGCCGGUGCCGCCGGCCCCGGUGCGCCGGCUGCCACGUGCACCCCGCCGCCAAGGCCCGGGACAAGGCCAAGGGCGCCCACAAGCUGCGCGCCUCCGACGUCGCCCUCAACCACCGCCUCGUCUCCUGGCGCCUCGUCGACGGGGACGCCUCCGCCGCCGCCGCCCGCACCGGCGGCGUCCCCGACUACAAGGGCGCCUCCGCGUCCGCCGUCCUCGCCUACCUCGCCGGCGGCAACAGCUGGCACGCCGAGGACGAGGACGAUGACGAUGAGGACCAGGACGGCGCCGAUCUUCAGGCCCCCCCAAGGGGGAUCUCUGACCUGUACGACCUCAUCGUCGGCCUCCAGGCCGGCGCGGCGGCCCCUGCGCCGGGCGGCCCAGAAGACGACGCCGAUGGCACGGCAGCAGUAACACCCAGCGAUGAAAUCGAGGAGCAGGAUGCUGAAAUCACUGACGAUGUCGACGAGGAGGACGACGGGUUCUGCAUGGUGCACGGCAUCACCAUCGCGCUCGAGUUCUCCGGCGGGGAGGAGGACUGGAUCGUGGUCUGA
rnacentral:rRNA from 1 species